UACGUAGGGUGCAAGCGUUGUCCGGAAUCAUUGGGCGUAAAGCGCGUGUAGGCGGUCCGGUAAGUCCGCUGUGAAAGUCGAGGGCUCAACCCUCGAAUGCCGGUGGAUACUGUCGGGCUUGAGUACGGGAGAGGCGAGUGGAAUUCCUGGUGUAGCGGUGAAAUGCGCAGAUAUCAGGAGGAACACCGAUUGCGAAGGCAGCUCGCUGGAACGUUACUGAGCUAAGGCGCGAAAAGCGUGGGGGAGCGAACAGG
rnacentral:rRNA from 1 species